rnacentral:misc_RNA from 1 species
CUAAAUACUGGAAAGUAGCUCCAAGAUUGAAGGAUGUGACACUUUCUAACACUGAUGGUGCUGAUUCUAAGUCUCUUUACCUCAAGAGGAAGUACUACUACAAAUAUCAGAGGUCUGAAAGGUUAUAUCCUUUCAAAAAGAGGAAACACUUUGCCUAUGCUUCACAAUCAAAUUCUGAAGGAGGGAUUAGUAAUGAGUUUAUUUGCAAUUCACCCCAAAAGGGUAAUGAUGGUGAUGCUUCUGCUUCCGGUAGAAAGAAGCAUGGAGUUAUUGGUGCCUCAUCUUCUGUUGCAGGUCAACACAAUUCAUUCCGACCUAGGGAUUCUCACGUGAAGCUUAGGAUAAAGUCUUUCAAGGUACCAGAGCUAUUUAUUGAGAUUCCAGAAAGUGCAACUGUUGGCUUAUUGAAGAGGACUGUUAUGGAGGCUGUGACUGCUAUACUUGGAGGUGGAUUACGUGUUGGUGUACUUCUUCAGGGAAAGAAGGUUCGUGAUGACAAUAAAACUUUACUGCAGACUGGAAUUUGUCACAAUAUUCAAUUGGAUGCUUUGGGUUUUAGCCUAGAGCCAAAUUCUUCUCGAACUCCCCCUUCUUUGAGCCCUGGAGAUUCUCCCUUUCUGGUUGACACACCACAGCCUGUAAGCAGGUAUCCACCUGCUCCAAGUUUGGUACAGCAGAUCGCUUGUGCUGCUUCUCCUGAGCCUCAUGGGACUAAUUUAGGGAAUUUAAUUGAAAGUGACCAUGAUUCAGCACCCUCUCCUACAGAUAUUGACAAAAGCACUGAUUCAAAAGCUUUGGUUCCUGUGCCAGAAAUGAAUAUAGAGGCACUAGCUGUGGUUCCGGCACACCGGAAAUCCAAGCGAUCUGAGAUUGUGCAGCGCCGAAUUCGUCGACCUUUCUCUGUUGCUGAAGUUGAAGCCUUGGUGCAAGCAGUUGAGAAACUUGGAACUGGAAGGUAUAUUGAUUGUCUUGAUGAUACACAGAUACAGUAACUAGGAGAAGCUGCUGGAGACAUUUAAUACUGGGAUUAGUUAAUAUUUGGAUUGGCCUAUCUGGUGGUGGCUGUCUCAUAGUAAAUUUUAAGGGCUUGAAUUUUUUAAUGCAGUUUUCCCUCCUUCCAUUUCUGUAAAAAAAAUGGAAAAUUUUAAUGGAUUUGUGAAUCCCCACAGAUGGCGUGAUGUCAAACUGCGAGCUUUUGAUAAUGCAAAGCACCGAACUUAUGUGGAUCUGAAGGUGUGUUUUUUCGGUAUUCACUCUUUCAGCUAAUGAUCUUCUGUUUAUUUUCUUUUCCAGUUGGUUUCCUGUAUUAAAAUAUAUAUGAUUGUUACGUUUAGAGGUUUGUUUGAUAAUCUAGUCUUUUAAAAUUCAAAAGUGUCCGAUAGACUUUAAGGAGGGCAUGCUGGUACUUUAAUAUUACUAUUCAACAAAUGGUUGCUUGUGUAACAGGGCAAUGAUUAGAUAGACUUUAUUACCUUUUGUUGUCCGUGUAGCUUUGUCCUAUAAAAUAACAACACUUGCUUUUAUUCCACAUUACUAACAUCACCUUUUCCAAAUUUCUUAAUGCACAAUGUCCUUCCUCAUUAAAAGGGUAUUUGAAUCUUCUGGGUACGCAAAAAAUGCAAAGUUGGGUUCUUGGUAUUUUCUUGGCGGAUUGGGUACGAUCACGUGGAUGUGGUGGUUCAAUGUUUGACGGGUAUUUUUGGGUUAUGCUAUGCAGGAUAAAUGGAAAACACUCGUGCACACGGCAAGAAUAUCCCCUCAACAAAGGAGGGGAGAGCCUGUGCCCCAGGAGCUCUUGGACAGGGUCCUUACUGCACAUGCUUUCUGGUCCCAGCAACAAGCCAAGCAACAGCACAAACAGCAGCAACAGCCAGAGACUUGCCUUCUCCUCUGAGGAAAAACAUAGACUAGUGGGUUUAGAGAAGGAUUUCUGUGUAUUCUUGUUAUUAUUGUGUAAAAAGUUGAUGACGAAAAAGGGUGAAAAACAGAAGCCUUGAAGAAUUCUUAUGUAAUAUUUUCUGGCUCUCGCUGUGAUUCUUUUCCUUCGUGGAGAGGUAUGGCACUUGUAAAUGGUGAUGGAAUAAGAGCUUUGCUAACGGGGUUCAUUUCACAAAAAUUUUCUAAUUUUUUUUUUGGGUCUUCAUUGUUUAAAAUCCCCAUUAAACUUUUAUUGACUUAUCUAUUUGAAUAGCUUUGUAGGAUUUUAAUUUUUUCUAUGAGGUUUAAUUUAUAUUUUUUUAUAUUUUGUAUUUUGGCACCAUUACUUCUUAAAUGGGAAUCAUGUAAACAGCA